ACACCCACCCCAUUCUUACGUUCAAUUCAUUCUAAUAAGUUGGAGUGUUGUCAUGGAAUCUCUCACUCAGCUCCAAAGAGGUGCUGUUGCACAGAUUGAGAAGUAGAACAUGACAAGCGUUUGCAUUCAGCACAGAGGGUGACAAGAUCAAGAAUAGAAGACAGAAGAAAUCAUACUGUAGAUCUACUUACCUGUCACCAAAGUUCCUGAGGUCUGGUUCCUGUUGUGAUCCUGUUCCUGGCACCUGUCCCUGAAAAUCUGGUUCCCAUCUGUGUCUUUGUUCCUGUUCUCCUAUCCAGUGUCUGCAAGAUAUUGUAUAGUCCUCCUUGUUUAGUCCUGUGUACCCUAUUGUGUAUAGAGUUUGGGGCUCUGGGGUUCACCCCCGUUUACAUCAUUUGUGUUAACAACCGAGCUUUUACUGU